CACGACCAUGAAGCAUGUGUCACGCUCCCCAUGUGGAUGGAAGUUAAAGUAAUUUACAUAUGUCUGUAGCCAACUAGUAAACUUGUUUACUCUGACUGCUGUGAAAAGUUUGAAAUGGAACCACGAAGACAAUGGCCGAUAUUUGUGUUUUGUAGUUUUAAUGCUGUUCUUCGAUCGCAAUCGACGCAUGAAGUGAAUUCAGUUCCAUCAACAGUUCAUCGGGUCAACGAAGUACCGUUGCGUCUUGAUGAAUAUUCCUUUGAUCCACCGCUCAAAAUAAAGCGUGUCAUUGAAGCGAAAGAAUUAAACUCAAGAUUGCAUGUUUCACGGAAUGAGCGACUGAACUGGGAGGAUCCGGAGAAAAGACAGAAUGAAUAUAAAUUAUCAAUGACGAGACUUCUAAAUCAGGGAAGGGGAAGCGCCCUAACAAAUUUUGCGGAGACGGGAAGGUCUUCGUUAUCCAAGGGCAGUGGUUUUAUCACGAAUCCUAUUAUUAUCAAAUAUCUGUGAAUGAUACCAAAUUAUUUGAAAUUCAAUUUAUCAAAAUGAUUUGAUGGUCAAUCUAUCAUUAUGGCGAUUUAAAUAUAUGGAAUGUGGGGGAAACAAAUUAUCUAUUCCAGUGUGCAGAAAAUGAUGACGUAUAGAUACAUGUAUGUAAGAAAUAAUUUCAUUCAUGAGAGCAUGAACUGCAACAAUUGACGUCAGCAUACCUCAUGAAGCAUGUUAACUAGCGAUCCGUGAAAAGUAUACCGAUGUGAAGCGUUGAAGUUCAUACCCUCAUGUAUUUUCAAAAAUGAAAUUUGUCUUAUUUAUUUACAUUCUACUUUCAUUUCUGUAGGAAUUUCCAGUCCUUAAAAUAAACGUACUAUAUUUAUCAAGAUUCAUGCCUUGUUCACGACCGCAUCGCAUUCAUGAGGGAAUGGCUAUCAUUUCAUUUGGUAAAGAUAUCGAUUCGAAGACAAAAAUAUUUGAAAUGUAAAUAUAAUAAAAUAUUUGCAGGUAAAGGCAUACUUAUAUCUCGUGCUAUGUAUCGUGAAAAAGACACCCCAAAACCACUACAGUUGAUAGGUAGUUUCCACGACCCUGCUCAGCACCCGUUUACGCUUGGGUGGGAAAGAACCACUCCGCAGCCUGUAGCCAUCACCAGACCAAAAUCCAGCGAACUAGAACCAAUAUCCAGCGAACCGGAACCUCGAUUAUCCGCCGCGAAACAGGAAGAAGACACGACAAGACAACAACUAAGAAAAGGUACAGAGAAAGGCUUAAAAGACUGGAGCUGGAGGGAUAACGUCUCUAAAUCACAGAGGUUGAGUGUACCAAAAGCAGUGUUCAGAUUCACACAGACAAACCCACUAGAGCAGUCCUAGAGCCGCUCCCUCACCAUCAUGUCAUAAUGUGAUCAUGUAUCGAAUGUAAUUUAUGUAAUUUCUUUUAUUGUUUCAUUAAAAACACGAGAAAUAUACAUGUUCUCUAUAAACAUA